GCAAAACAAAAGUUUUGAUUGACAGCAUUCAUUAUAUAUUAUUCACAGUAUGUCACUGAAACAUUCUGAAAGAAAUUUUUGUACACACAGGUGCUUAAUAUUUCUCAGGUUGUUCUAUAAUGUGCCUAUUAAUUAUAGAUUCAUAUACUAAAAAAUAUAUGUUGGUGACACCACCCUUUGCCCAGCCCCUGCCCUGCUGAGCAUUCAGAGCUCAAAUCUGUUCUCCUAAAUGCCUCCCUCCUGCCAGAACAACACACACAAACACAUACACACACAAACACUAUCACAUACUUUCCGCUCUCCUCCGCAGUCACUUGUCAGCUAAACCAGAUGUCGUCUCAUAAUUGGCUGAUGUGAGCACCCACAAAGGCGAAGACAUUAUUACACACAAACUCCAGACACCGCUGCACCCCACCCCACAUCCCAGCAUCUUCUUCCCUACCUGAACCCAAACAAGCUUCCUACACUACAACAAAUGAAACCAACUCACACCGGCAAUUAUUUAAGACCGUCUUGCUGCCAAACAUUAACGCGAGAGAGCGAUAAUCAAGCCGGAUGUGAUUCAAUCCGAGCAACGAUUCCACAAAACCGGGGUGAGGUAUAAAAAUGGCGGAGGUAGUUGUGGUAGAUUGGGAGCAGGUCUGGUCUGUGGUUGCAUUGGUGGAUUACUCCCUGACACAGAGAGAGCAUAUCUAAUCAGCAUUCCUGAAACCGAGCCGGGGUGAGAAAAUAGAUCCUAGUCUUAGUAUGACGGCCCCCCUGCUGUGCUACCUGUCAAAGCCAAUAUUUCCCCUUCAGCUCCCCACAACAAGACCACAUUUACCACCCUUCAUAUAUUACCCAUCAUUCUUCUCAACAAACUCAAGCACCUCCUUAAUAUGCUUGCCAGUUGUAAUUGGUAUAUGGAUAAAAGCUACACUUGAUUUCACUUCAUUUCGAUUUUGCUGUUAAAAAUCAAAAAAUGAAAAAGAGCACAGGCUACUGUUGAUGUGGACAUUUCAGCCAGAUUGAAAAGUGUGUGUCCUGUAGUAUGUAGUAUGUGGUACAAUCUGCAAAUUUGGCAAAAACCAAAGAUGGUAAGGGCUAUUUCAGAAUGGUGCAAAAUGUUCGAUUCACACGCACACACACACACACCUACAGAGAAAUGGAAAAAUGAAAACUCACAAGCGGUGGCUAAAUUUCAUUAUGUCUUGGCAGGAUAUUCCUAUAACUUACUGGGGAUACAUUCUCUCUGUGUUAUGCAGCGAAAAAAAAUCAUUUGCAUUUUUUUUUUCCCGCAAGUGUGAAGUAUCAAAGGCGGGCCCCUGCUGAGCAGCGAAUAGACAGAGCUGGCAGAGGCAUGAAUUUUUCAGCAGCUUUCGCCCUCCCUUUCUCUCUCUUUCUCUCUUUUCCUGUCGGUUCAGUCGAUACGCUGCAUGGACGAGAAGCCCAGGCUGCAUGCGAACUAGCCGAGCUGCAUUCCCGGAUUUCCACCAGCUUCGUGAACUGGUACCUGAAUACCAAAUUGAAAGUAGAUGUGUAAAUACAAUUCUUUUUCCCUUAUGGAUCCCCUUUGCCACCUUCAUGGAGUGGAUACUGGCGAGAAAUGGAUCUCCGUUCAUCUCACCGGAUCCACUCCAGAUUCAGUGCCCAGCUAACCAUCUCCCUGCGGUGCGGAGCAUCAGCUCGAGCCCACUGAUGACAAAGAGCCAAUUCCAGCUGUGAUCGACAAGCCAACACAAAGCUGAGUGACUAAGCGGAGGAUCGUCCUGGACGUGGAGCUCAACCCGUCAGACCAGGUGCGAGAGCUGGCGACCACGUCCAACGUGAGGGAGCAAGCCGUAGACGGUGAGUGUGCAAAGUGGAGCUCCACCCACUGCACCGUCUACAGCUUGCUCCCUGAGGAUGGGCUGAUUAUACACCUGGGACUGCUGGACUUAGAAGGGGACUUAAUAGAAUGGGAAACUGAGCUGGAAGUCGACUUGCCCCCUCUCCUUUCUCCUUGGUCCCCGCUGGUACUGUCCAUCCUUAAGGGGGCUCCUGUUUCCCAGUCCAACCAGGAGUGGGCUCUGAUCCCCGAGGGCAGCCCUGAGAGCCCGGAGGCUCACGAAUGCCCGCCCACCCGCCCGCUCUUGCCUCCUCUACAGUCUGUCAUCUGCCAGCCCCUCUGCUUGCCCUCAGCCCACCAUCAAUACCAUGCGAGUGCCGCAGGUCUGCCAUCCUCCAUCGUCGCUGUGGCUGGAGCAUCCCUCUCCUCUGCCCUCCAGCCUCCGAGACCCGGACUCCACCUCGGACAAUAGACCCAGUGGCUCCAUCUUGGCUCCCAGCUCCCUCGCCUCCACCAUCACCCGUCAAACCCCUUAUCCACCGGGUUCCCUCGUCCCUCCGGCUCCACCUCGGUCUGGUGUCGACCAUUCUGCACCUCUGGACUCCGUCAGGACGAUUCUGCGUCCCACCAGCUCCGUCAGGCUCCAUCAUCCCUUCAGCUCCUCCCCAGUUGUUCCGGCUCCACCGCAGAUCUCCGGCCGGAUCUCCACCUCCGCCUUGGUCGCCAGAGCCCUCAGCUCCACCCUGGCCCCCCGGAUCCUUGUCAUUCCCCUGGAUCGUUGGCUCUCUCGGUCUCCGUUUCCACUCCUUCACCACCUGCUCUGCCGCCAUUGGUCAGCCCCCUGCAUUCGGCAGCCAUUCCUACUCCCUGGCUCCUCCCUCCAUUGUCUCCUCCCUGGACUCUGUCUGCUGGCCACCCUCCGGGGUGUCCGUCCUCCACCGGAGCUGCCUCCUUAGUCCCCACUUAUUUCGAUAUGUCAGGAUUAUGGACCUGUUUUGUUGUGUUUUGCCCCUGUCUUUGUUCCUGGUUUUCCUUAAAUGGUCUGUUUCCUGUCCUCAUUUAGUUUAAUUAUGAUUUCUGGCACCUGUGUUAUUACACCUGUUAAUUAUCCCCAGUAUUUCAGUCCUUGCUUUUGCGUUCUGUGUUUGUCUGUUCUACUUGUUAUGUUUGAGUGUUUACUGCCAUCUCCUGUGUGGAUGUACCCUGUGUUUUGUGGAUUAAAGACUAUUUUCGUUUA